rnacentral:rRNA from 1 species
CCUACGGGAUGCAGCAGUGAGGAAUAUUGGUCAAUGGACGAGAGUCUGAACCAGCCAAGUAGCGUGAAGGAUGACUGCCCUAUGGGUUGUAAACUUCUUUUAUAUGGGAAUAAAAUGUUCCACGUGUGGGAUUUUGUAGGUACCAUAUGAAUAAGGAUCGGCGAACUCCGUGCCAGCAGCCGCGGUAAUACGGAGGAUCCGAGCGUUAUCCGGAUUUAUUGGGUUUAAAGGGAGCGUAGGUGGAUUGUUAAGUCAGUUGUGAAAGUUUGCGGCUCAACCGUAAAAUUGCAGUUGAAACUGGCAGUCUUGAGUACAGUAGAGGUGGGCGGAAUUCGUGGUGUAGCGGUGAAAUGCUUAGAUAUCACGAAGAACUCCGAUUGCGAAGGCAGUUCACUGGACUGCAACUGACACUGAGGCUCGAAAGUGUGGGUAUCAAACAGGAUUAGAUACCCCAGUAGUC